UGGAGGUGUUGUAGCCGGGAUUGUGGUUGGAGCAGUUUUCAGCAUUGUCCUAAUUCUUGGAAUUUUAUGGUGGUUUGGUUAUUUACGACGCAGAGAUUCAAGUGGACUAGAUUUGAGUGGUCUGGAGCUUAACACAGGUCGGUUUACAUUGAGGCAAAUUAAAGCUGCAACAAACAAUUUUGAUGUUGCUAAUAAGAUUGGAGAAGGUGGUUUCAGCCCGGUUUAUAAGGGAGUAUUGGCGGAUGGAACCUUAAUUGCUGUGAAACAGCUUUCUUCUGAAUCCAGGCAAGGGAAUAGGGAAUUCUUGAAUGAGUCGUUUUCCUUUGUAACUUUUG